GCCGCUGCAGGAUCCCUGAGAUGAUGAAAAACUGUAUUGCAUUAUUUUACAAAUUAAACAUAUGUGGCAACCAGCAUCAAGCAAACUAUUGGCACCAUUUUCCAACAGCGUUGGUAUCUCCAUGUCACAUUUUGUAUUGAAGACAUGCUAGAAAUUGUGCAACUCCCUGUCCAAAAGGAAUUCACAAUCAAGUAAAAGCAUAUAAUUAUUCCACUACUUGCCAUGUCUUAAAUAAAAUUGUGUUCCAGAGUCUG
rnacentral:lncRNA from 1 species